rnacentral:rRNA from 1 species
CCUACGGGGGGCAGCAGUGAGGAAUAUUGGUCAAUGGACGCAAGUCUGAACCAGCCAUGCCGCGUGCAGGAAGACGGCCCUAUGGGUUGUAAACUGCUUUUGUACGAGGGUAAACGGAGACACGCGUAUCUGUCUGAAAGUAUCGUACGAAUAAGGAUCGGCUAACUCCGUGCCAGCAGCCGCGGUAAUACGGAGGAUUCAAGCGUUAUCCGGAUUUAUUGGGUUUAAAGGGUGCGUAGGCGGUCGGAUAAGUUAGAGGUGAAAUCUCCAGGCUUAACUUCGGAAUUGCCUUUGAUACUGGUCGGCUAGAGAGUAGUAGCGGUAGGCGGAAUGUAUGGUGUAGCGGUGAAAUGCUUAGAGAUCAUACAGAACACCGAUUGCGAAGGCAGCAUACCAGGCUACUUCUGACGUUGAGGCACGAAAGCGUGGGGAGCAAACAGGAUUAGAUACCCCAGUAGUC